AACGCGAAGAACCUUACCUGGGCUCGAAAUGUAGUGGACCGGAGUAGAAAUAUUCCUUCUCAGCAAUGGGCCGCUAUAUAGGUGCUGCAUGGCUGUCGUCAGCUCGUGUCGUGAGAUGUUGGGUUAAGUCCCGCAACGAGCGCAACCCUUAUCCCUAGUUGCCAUCGGGUCAAGCCGGGCACUCUAGUGAAACCGCCCCGGAUAACGGGGAGGAAGGUGGGGAUGACGUCAAGUCCUCAUGGCCUUUAUGUCCAGGGCUACACACGUGCUACAAUGGUCGGUACAAACCGUCGCAAACCCGCGAGGGGGAGCUAAUCGGAAAAAGCCGACCUCAGUUCGGAUUGGAGUCUGCAACUCGACUCCAUGAAGCUGGAAUCGCUAGUAAUCGCGGAUCAGAACGCCGCGGUGAAUACGUUCCCGGGCCUUGUACACACCGCAUAC
rnacentral:rRNA from 1 species